rnacentral:lncRNA from 2 species
GAAUCGGGGAGUGAAGAUGAUGACCUUGAUGUUGGUAUAGGUGAUGUACCAUCUGAGCUUGAGGUUAAGAAUUCUGGUCUAAUACCUGCACAAUCUAAAGAGACAGAAAGGCAGCUUUCGAAGAAGGAAUGGAAGAAGAAAGAGCUUGCAGAACUAGAUACUGUGCUGGCUGAGCUGGGGAUUUCUGGACAUGGUACCCAGCUUGAUGCAAUUAAGAGCAAGACUUCAAGGAAGAAGAAAUCAAAGAAGACAAAUCAAUCAAGGAUUCUAAAGAGCAGCCCAAUGAAAUGGAUUCCAGCAAGGACCAUGGAGAGGUGGCGGAUACAAAUCUGA